rnacentral:rRNA from 1 species
CCCUGGACUCUAUAAAAAGGAACCGGCGAACGGGUGCGUAACACGUGAGCGACCUACCGAUUCGUGGGGGAUAGCCGGCCCAACGGCCGGGUAAUACCGCAUACGCCAAGUGGACCGCAUGGUCUGUUUGGGAAACCUCCGGGGCGAAUCGAGGGGCUCGCGGCCUACCAGCUAGUUGGCGGGGUAAUGGCCCACCAAGGCAUCGACGGGUAGCUGGUCUGAGAGGAUGGCCAGCCACAUUGGGACUGAGAAACGGCUCCGACUCCUACGGGAGGCAGCAGUGGGGAAUCUUGCGCAAUGGCCGAAAGGCUGACGCAGCGACGCCGCGUGUGGGAUGAAGCUCUUCGGGGUGUAAACCACUGUUGCCCGGGACGAACGGCGAGAUUUAUCUCGCGUGACGGUACCGGGUGAGGAAGCACCGGCUAACUCCGUGCCAGCAGCCGCGGUAAUACGGAGGGUGCGAGCGUUGUCCGGAAUCACUGGGCGUAAAGGGCGCGUAGGCGGCUCGUGCAAGCGGGCGGUGAAAGCCCGGGGCUCAACCCCGGGUCAGCCGAACGGACUGCGGAGCUGGACCAGACUAGAGGCUCGUGGAAUUCCGGGUGUAGCGGUGGAAUGCGUAGAGAUCCGGAAGAACACCGGUGGCGAAGGCGGCGAGCUGGGGUCUGUGUGACGCUGAUGCGCGACAGCGUGGGGAGCAAACAGGAUUAGAUACCCUGGUAGUCCACGCCGUAAACGAUGGGCACUAGGUGCCCGGGGGAGCGACCCCUCGGGUGCCGUCGCUAACGCAUUAAGUGCCCCGCCUGGGGAGUACGGGCCGCAAGGCUGAAACUCAAAGGAAUUGACGGGGGGCCCCGCACAAGCCGGUGGGAGCAUGUGGUUUUAUUUCGACGCAACGCCGAAAAA